GUCGAGAAUAAUUCACAAUGGGGGAAACCCUGAUGGUGCAACGCCGCGUGGAGGAUGAAGGUCUUCGGAUUGUAAACUCCUGUCAUCCGGGAGCAAGACCUGGGCGUGAAUAGCGCACAGGUUUGAUAGUACCGGAAGAGGAAGGGACGGCUAACUUCGUGCCAGCAGCCGCGGUAAUACGAAGGUCCCAAGCGUUGUUCGGAAUCACUGGGCGUAAAGGGUGCGUAGGCGGCGUGGUAAGUCAGAUGUGAAAUCCCGGGGCUCAACCUCGGAACUGCAUCCGAUACUGCCAUGCUUGAGGGCUGGAGAGGUAACUGGAAUUCUCGGUGUAGCAGUGAAAUGCGUGGAUAUCGAGAGGAACACUCGUGGCGAAGGCGAGUUACUGGACAGCAUCUGACGCUGAGGCACGAAGGCCAGGGGAGCGAAAGGGAUUAGAUACCCCAGUAGUUCC
rnacentral:rRNA from 1 species